UGAACGCUGGCGGCAUGCCUUACACAUGCAAGUCGAACGGCAGCAUAGGAGCUUGCUCCUGAUGGCGAGUGGCGAACGGGUGAGUAAUAUAUCGGAACGUGCCCUAGAGUGGGGGAUAACUAGUCGAAAGACUAGCUAAUACCGCAUACGAUCUACGGAUGAAAGUGGGGGAUCGCAAGACCUCAUGCUCCUGGAGCGGCCGAUAUCUGAUUAGCUAGUUGGUGGGGUAAAAGCCUACCAAGGCAACGAUCAGUAGCUGGUCUGAGAGGACGACCAGCCACACUGGGACUGAGACACGGCCCAGACUCCUACGGGAGGCAGCAGUGGGGAAUUUUGACAAUGGGGGCAACCCUGAUCCAGCAAUGCCGCGUGAGUGAAGAAGGCCUUCGGGUUGUAAAGCUCUUUUGUCAGGGAAGAAACGUAGUAGCUAAUAUCUAUUACUAAUGACGGUACCUGAAGAAUAAGCACCGGCUAACUACGUGCCAGCAGCCGCGGUAAUACGUAGGGUGCAAGCGUUAAUCGGAAUUACUGGGCGUAAAG
rnacentral:rRNA from 1 species